rnacentral:rRNA from 1 species
UACGUAGGUGGCAAGCGUUGUCCGGAUUUACUGGGCGUAAAGAGCGCGCAGGCGGUCGCUCAAGUCGCGUGUGAAAGCCCCCGGCUCAACUGGGGAGGGUCACGCGAUACUGAUCGACUGGAAGGCAGGAGAGGGUAGUGGAAUUCCCGGUGUAGUGGUGAAAUGCGUAGAUAUCGGGGAGGAACACCAGUGGCGAAGGCGACUACCUGGCCUGUUCUUGACGCUGAGGCGCGAAAGCG